AUGGAGCAAUUGGAGAAGAGGAUGGAUGCUGCGGAACAACAAAUCAAAGAGCUGCGUGAAGAUCUUAAUCGGAGAUUUGGUCAGCUGGUUGAGAUGAUAAGAAAGGGUGUCCCCCCUGCUACCAAUGAAGGAGAUUUAUCUAAAGAAGAGGAAGAUGUUCAUCAAGGAAGAAGGAGAGGUAAUCUUGGAGUAAGACCGCCACGACAACAUGUUGUUCAACGUGCUUCAAGAAGGCCAAUUUAUGUUGAAGCUUCAGAAGGUGAAGAAUAUGAUGAUGCCCUUGAAGAAGCAGAUCUCUACGCAUAUCGGAGAGUACCCAACCCUACAUAUGCAAGAGAUACAUACAAGGUGAAAGCUGAGAUCCCAACUUUUAAUGAAAAUGUUGAUAUUGAAGGGUGCCUAGAUUGGUUAUAUGAAGUGGAGACUUUCUUUGAGGUCAUGGAGGUUCCGGAAGAUCGUAGAGUUCCUUUGGUCGCAUACAAGCUGAAAGGAGGAGCCGGUGCAUGGUGGCAUCGCGUUCAAGAGGAGCGCAGGCUCAGAGGAGAACCUCGUGUUAGAACUUGGCGACAAAUGAAAGGCCUCUUGAAAGGGAGAUUUUUGCCCGCUGAUUAUGACCAGAUCCUAUUUAUCCAAUUUCAAAAUUGUGCUCAAGGAAACAGGACUGUUUCAGAUUACACGAAGGAGUUUCUAAGGCUACAAGUGAGGUGCAACCUUGCUGAAACUGAAGAGCAACAAGUUGCAAGGUACAUCAAUGGUCUCAAUGAUGCUAUUCAAGAUCGAUUGAUGAUGCAACAAAUCUGGUCCGUUGAUCAAGCACAAGCUCUAGCCUUAAAGGCCGAGAGGUUUGUGAGGAUGAGAAAGACAACUAAGGCUCCAUAUCCUCAUACCGAAGGCUCAUCUAGGAGCCAACCUAAUAGAGUGGAAGAAAAUACCACUCCACCAAAGACAAAACAGCCGAUCCCGAAGCAAACUAGAGGCAAGGGUAAGGCAAAUGAAGGCCCAAAGUGCUAUAAAUGUGGUAAAGAGGGACACAUAUCCAGCGGCUGCCCACUAAGGAAAUUUGUUAACACGACUAUCCAUGAUGGUGAAAGCGAUGAGGAAGAAUACGAAUCUGAAGAUGUAGACGGACAAGAGGUUUGUCAAGAAGAAGGUGAAGAGGUGGUAUGUGUGAUCCAGCGUGUCCUAUGUUCCACACCACAACUCGAUGACACACAACGGAAGAAAAUAUUUGAGAGCAAAUGCACGGUGAAUGGCAAGGUAUGCAAACUAGUGAUUGAUAGUUGCAGCUGCGAGAAUCUUAUCUCCCAGAAGUUGGUGGACCAUUUAAAGCUUGAAACCCAUGAUCAUCCAAAUCCCUACACUAUUGGAUGGAUCAAGAAAGGAGUGAAUACGAGGAUCACCAAACAAUGCAACCUGCCACUUUCUUUGGGUAAGCAUUAUCGCUCAAAUGUGUUGUGUGAUGUGGUUGACAUGGAUGCCAGCCAUGUUCUUCUUGGGAGGCCUUGGCAAUUUGAUGUGGAUACUACACACAAGGGCAAGGAAAAUUCUUACUCUUUCAUUUGGAACAAGAGAAGGAUCAUUAUCUUACCAAACAAACCCGAAGGUAAUACCUCUAAGGAGGAGGGGAAAACUAUGUUAACUAUCUCCCAUACCUCUCAUGAGUUUAUGGAAGACUUGAAGGAGGCAGAUUUGUGUGCUGCACUUGUUGUAAAGGGAGAAGAGCACCUGACUGUUGAAAUUCCAGCAAAGGUACGUGGUUUAUUGGCAGAAUUUCAGAACAUACUUGGGGAGCCACAUGGCUUGCCACCGAUGAGAGGAAUUCAACAUAGAAUUGACUUAAUUCCGGGAGCAAGUCUUCCUAAUCUUCCACACUAUCGAAUGAGCCCAAAGGAGCAUGAUAUAUUGAAGGAGAAAGUGGAGGAAUUGUUGCAAAAGGGGCACAUUCGAGAAAGUAUUAGCCCAUGUGCUGUACCAGCCCUACUCGCGCCAAAGAAAGAUGGAUCUUGGCGCAUGUGUACGGACAGUAGAGCCGUUAACAAGAUCACCGUAAGGUAUAGGUUCCCUAUUCCCCGUCUGAAUGAUAUGCUGGAUCAGCUUAGUGGAGCAAGAGUGUUCACAAAGCUAGAUUUAAGAAGUGGAUAUCAUCAAAUCCGUAUAAGACCCGGGGAUGAAUGGAAGACCGCCUUCAAGACAAAGGAAGGGUUGUCUGAAUGGCUAGUCAUGCCAUUUGUACUCUCAAAUGCACCAAGUACCUUUAUGCACUUAAUGAAUCAAGUCCUUAGACCCUUCUUAUCCCACUUUGUUGUGGUCUAUUUCGAUGACAUCUUGAUCUAUAGCAAGGAUGAGGAUGAACACUUUGAUCACAUUCGGAAGGUGCUAGAAGUACUAAGGGAAAAUGAGCUCUACGUCAACUUGAAGAAAUAUGUUUUCCUGCAAACACAACUUCUUUUCCUAGGAUUCGUCAUAACAUGUGACGGCAUUCGUGUUGAUGAUUCUAAGGUUGAAGCAAUCCGAGAAUGGCCAACUCCUAAGACCAUUUCUGAGGUAAGAAGCUUUCAUGGCCUUGCAACUUUCUAUAGGCGAUUUGUUAAGAAUUUCAGCACUAUCAUGGCACCAAUUACCGAGUGUUUGAAGAAAGGAAAGUUCCAAUGGGCAGAAGCAGCUGAAGCUAGCUUCAAUGAGAUUAAACAAAAGCUAUCACAAGCUCCUGUCUUGGUACUACCUGAUUUCAACAAGACUUUUGAGUUGGAGUGUGAUGCAAGUGGAGUAGGCAUUGGAGCUGUCCUAUCUCAAGAAAGGAAGCACAUUGCUUUCUUUAGUGAGAAGUUAAGUGAAGCUAGAUAG
rnacentral:rRNA from 1 species